CUAUAACUCGUUGCAAAGAAAUAAGACUGUUAAUUUUGCCAGCAAUAAAAACCAAAGGGCUUAGAGAAACGGAUUUUUUCCAGGACAUUAAUCAUGAAAAUUUAAUGGAUAUCAAAUAUUUAAUACAGUGGAAUGUACAACUUGUAUUACUAUGGCUCUCCUCAAAUCGAUCAUGUCGGGAAAAUCCAUAAUUAAAAUUAUGCUAGCGGGAGCAAAUCAUUAACAUUCGGCUUUUCUCUUUCCUCUGGAAGAAUGAAAUGUACCAGCGCCUGCUGAUGUAUAGCCUAUUACAGAAAAGGAUAAAUGAUUACUCUCCUUAUAAAAAUGACUACUUAAUUAUAUUGGAGUUAUUGAAAGUGUGUAAUAUAUCUUGAGAUACUGAAUGCAGCAUUCGCUAUAAAAAAAAAAAAAAGUUAAUUAUGGCUGGGAGCUUAUAAUAAUGUUCUUGCCUACCAAAUUCAAUUUGGUUGUACUAAAAGGAGUAGCCACAGCAUUUCCUUUUUUAUUUUAGUGAAAACCCUCUUGUUUGAGUUGGGUUGCUUGCUUUUGACAUUUUAAACUUGUUAAUCCUCUUGUGCCAUACGCAAGAACAUUUCCCAGAGUAAUUAAUUUGUCAAAUUUUUAAAGGGCUGAUAAAUUAGAACCCUUUUGAAAUGAUCUAGAAUUCACUCAGUUUUAAUAUUGCUUGAAACCACUUCAUCUUCCUAUCUGCAGUAUGGUUUAGCCUCUUAGCAGAUAUCAAAACAUAAGUUUCAGCAUUUCGCCGCUGUGUAUAUUUAUUACAGGUUGGAAAGAGCACAAGAGCAUGAAAGGAAAAGCAAGGUUUGGUUCCCCUGGGGAGUUUCUUCCGUUCUCUGCUCUUAUGGCCUUACACAAGGGGCACCAGAUGCUCCAGGUGUACCCUGUGAAAGUGUAUUAGCAGCUGGCAUGCUGAUACCUGUGUACUGCAUGAAGAACCAAGAUUUAUUCAUUUAUUGGUAGGCCUAUAUAUGUUUUGGCCAGGAAAAGGAAGAAACAUUCAAAUGAAGAUUGUAGGCAAAUUAUUGUUUUUUUUUAUAGGUAUAUUUCCAGCCAUUUCAACAAGUAGAACUGAACACAUUAAUACAGCCAAGAAGCAGAGACAUGGCCUGAUACAAGCCUAUAAUCGCUAGGCAGUGGACAAACCCCAGGGUGCAAUUUACUAUUUUGGUUUCCUGCAUGAAUUCCAGGAAUUGUGUAAGUAUGUGUGUGUGCUGGCGAAACAAUGAGCAUUACAUCCAUCAUUACAUUUUCUGAGGGCAUUAUUUCAACUUCUCUUAGCCAUAUUUUAUGGCCUCAUUUUUACUGCCACAUUCUUAGAUUUCAAAGUCAUAGCUCAUAUCCAAAAAUGCUUCUCUAAAGUUCUGCACCUCAUAAAAGAAAUAGUU
ensembl:lncRNA